rnacentral:rRNA from 14 species
UGUCGCUUGAGAGAAGCAAGUGACAAAGAUGUACCCAUGCCGAACACAGAAGUUAAGCCCUAGAACGCCGGAAGUAGUUGGGGGUUGCCCCCUGUGAGAUAGGGAAGUCGCUUAGCU